GACGAACGCUGGCGGCGUGCCUAACACAUGCAAGUCGAGCGGGGUUGAAGCGAGGGGUAACUCGAACUUCUACCUAGCGGCGGACGGGUGAGUAACGCGUGGGCAACCUGCCUCAAGGUCUGGGAUAACAGCUCGAAAGGGCUGCUAAUACCGGAUAUGCCUAUAGCCUCGCAUGGGGCUAUGAGCAAAGGGGAAACCCGCCUUGAGAUGGGCCCGCGUCCCAUCAGCUAGUUGGUGAGGUGAAGGCUCACCAAGGCGACGACGGGUAGCCGGCCUGAGAGGGUGACCGGCCACACUGGGACUGAGACACGGCCCAGACUCCUACGGGGGGCAGCAGUGGGGAAUCUUGCACAAUGGGCGAAAGCCUGAUGCAGCGACGCCGCGUGAGCGAAGAAGGCCUUCGGUUGUAAAGCUCUGUCUGGAGGGACGAAGAAAGUGACGGUACCUCCGGAGGAAGCCACGGCUAACUACGUG
rnacentral:rRNA from 1 species